UCAGGAUUAAAUGUUCUAGCAAGGAAACAUGAAGCUGGUCCAACGUGCUGCUGGGAUGGCUCCUUGAAGCUUGAACAUGAUGACCUUCAGCAAAGGAGGUGGAGAUGUACAGAGGAGGAGACCGUUAGUUCCCUGAGUGAAGAGAUGCUAUCUUGGUAUCUCCAGCUUCCAACCGGGGGCUUGGCACAGAAUAGGGGCUUGGUAAAUGUUUUCCAAAUGAAUGGGAUGUCUGAUGGAAAGAAGACAAGGUGAAGGAAUUCCUGGGUAAUAUGGAGAUGAGAAUCUGUGAGAAGGAUACAUGUACUGAUGCCUGUCGCGGUGGACACACAGACGCACACAUUGCGGAACACCACCAUAAGAAUAUUGAGAAUAUCGAGAACACUUCAAUAUUCCAAACUUCAAUGGAAAUAUACAUGCUGUAAAAUUUCAAAUUCAUGCUCCACUUCUUAUAAAAGGAACUGGAGUACACUCUUCUUCUGCCCUUGGACAUCAGGCUCUCUGGCCUUUGGACUCCAGGACUUAUACCAGCGCCCCUCUGGGUUCUCAGGCCUCUGUACUUGAACUGAGCCACACUGCCAGCAUGCCAGCUUCUCCAGCUUGCCAGGCCUGCUGUGGGACUUCUCAGCCUCCAUAAUCAUGUGUGCCAAUUCCCCUAAUAAAUCUCCUCUCAUCUGUCCACGUAUCUAUAUUUGCAUUCUGUUGGUUCUGUCUCUCUAGAAAAGUAUUACUAAUACACAGGUAGAGGAAGUCCCCAAGAAGAAUACUGAACUGACACCAAU
rnacentral:lncRNA from 1 species